AGAAGAACAAAGCAGCUGUUGUCACUGCCCCACAGAACCUGGACCUGAGAUCGGACUUAGCAAAUGGUCAGCCUUCCCACUGCAGAAAGAUGCUCUAUUCCAGCAAAACAUCACAAUUUUAUGGCGCUGAAAUGCCAGAAGGAUUUGGAGUGACUUUCACCAAGCCACCUGAAAAGUAGGCUGAAAGAUGGCAAACCGAACAAAGAUAGAAGUGGCCUGGGUCUGACAUGCACCUCACCAAGGAGAAGCCAUGCUCCAGUGGCUGGAGAAGUUCACUGCCAUUUUCACCUUCACAGACUACACCAUAUAUAGAAAUACUGAAAGAUGUGCUUUUCUAAUUAUAUUAGCAAAGGCAUGGCUGUCCCACAGAUGAAAUUGUGUAGUGACAUAUUAAUUAAUUUCUCACAUAUUCAGUCUGAGCCUUCAAGGAUGAAAGAACAGCUCCUGAAAGUGCCACCACUUAUACACAAAGAGACAAUCAAAAAUAUAUAUUUUUUGUUUUUCAGUAUCUAGCAUGCUCAGCACAUUGCUAUUCAAUACUAUGUUCCACCUGUCAUUCAUAAAUUACUUCAGCUAUAUUCCCUCCUUUAAUGAUAGGAGCACACUCCUUAACAAAAGCUGGCUGUCUAAACAGUGUAUUCCAUUUUGAAUCAAUUAAUUUUAUGUGUACAUCUAGACCCACUAUAAAAUAUAUGUGGAAUAAUUGUCUACUGGAGUAGAGUUUAUGCUUAACACCCAAAGUAAUUAAAACUACAUGAGGACAAUUUUGACAGUGUACUUUAUCAUUAGGACUUAUUUUCCCAUCAUACCCUCCAGAGGGCAAUUUGAUGACCAUGUAAACAAUUAAUCAUGUAUGAAUGAACAAUGAAAGCAUUUUCAGCAGUCCAGAGAUUUCAUUUCCUUAGCAAACACAUUGGUACAUAGCAACAGCAGCAUUACUGCCAGUGCCACCAAUGUGGUGUAGGAGGCUCCAGUUGGUAGAGGAGCAGAGGAAUCCUGCUCCUUUUGCUCUCCAGAGAGCUCCAGCCUGCUCUGAUCUGGCCAUCUGAACUGAGGACCAGAAGUGGUGAGUUGUGCCAUGCAACACAAGUUGCUACCAGACACCCACGUUAUGAAGAUUAAUGGACACAAGUCAGGACAACGAUGUGCUGUGGAUGUAGGUCUUGUUGCACGUCCGGUAACACAGCUGCAGCAUCAUGUAGUGUUGGUGGAGGUAUUUCAGCAUGCAAUAAAUCUGCCAGAGAUGUAUAGCCAUAUGCAGGAACCUGAUCCUCCACAGAAUUCGGAUGACUGUGUAGCAGUCCUCCCUCUGUGAUAAGAGAAAUCUCUUGUACUGCAGCCAGAGCACAGAGAUUUCGGUCCUGGACUAUCUAACCUUGACCAAAACCUGUCCUGGCUUUGGGGAAGCAAAUCCCAGUACCCUCAAUCAAGUUUCUCCCAUUCCUGUCAUUGUUACAGAAGCAUUGAAGGGAGGUAAAGAGGGAACAGGUCCCUAGAGAGCCUGGGAUAAACACAGCCAUAAUAACAGAGAAAAAGUCCUUGGAGAGAGUUGUGCAGAAAUUCACACAUUUCAUCCCUGAAGGUGUAUACUGGAAACUCCUGAGUAUUAUGAGAAGAAAGAAGAAGAUUGGUGACUAUUAUUGAAUUUCAAGAAAAAAUGAGUAGAGAUAUGCAGAAAUACAGUCUUUUUCAAGGAAAUGUAAUUAUCCAGUAUAAUUAUCUUUUCAAUAGCAGAAGUUCACAAAGUUACAAUGGGCAACUGCUUAUUAAAAAGUGGAUGCCUGAAUCCAUGCAUCUAAAUAAACAACUUGUUCCUAGAAUUCCUGGGUGCACAGCUCUUCAGACAGCCAGA